GGCAGGUAGAGAGAGAGAAAGCGAGCGGGUCCCAGUCUGUGCGGCCGGCGCUCUCAUCAGUCCCUGCCUCCUCGCUCCAAGAAUUUCGGAGCGCGGCCAAGGCCAGGCUGGGUUCGAGUCUCGGCGGGAUGCAGAACUCAGGGAUGCGAUCAGGGGAAAUAAGGAUCAUCCCUUGAGGCUUAUUCUCUCCUUUAAGACGUAAAGAGCCCCUUCCUCCCAGCC
rnacentral:lncRNA from 1 species